UACGUAGGGUGCAAGCGUUGUCCGGAAUUAUUGGGCGUAAAGAGCUCGUAGGCGGUUUGUCGCGUCUGCUGUGAAAACCCGAGGCUCAACCUCGGGCCUGCAGUGGGUACGGGCAGACUAGAGUGCGGUAGGGGAGAUUGGAAUUCCUGGUGUAGCGGUGAAAUGCGCAGAUAUCAGGAGGAACACCGGGUGGCGAAGGCGGGUCUCUGGGCAGUAACUGACGCUGAGGAGCGAAAGCGUGGGGAGCGAACAGG
rnacentral:rRNA from 1 species